rnacentral:lncRNA from 1 species
GGGGUCCUGUGCAGCUUUGCAGAGGCUCCAGCAGAGGGCUAUCAGGAAAGCCUGCCAGGCCUCCCUCCCAAGCCUCCACCCACCCGGCCCAUCCUUCCUCUCCUGCAGGGUGGAGGCCUCCCAUCUGCAUUCUUCCCGCUGAGGAGACCAGCAAAACAGGCCUCCGCCCUGGCCCUGGGCCCGCCUGGAGGAAGAGGGACCAUGGCUUCCGGGAUUCCAACAGCCCCCCAGCCUGGAGACCCUCGGGGCUUCGGGUGCUGAGGGACAGGCAGGCAAGCUCACAGGACACGGUCACCAGGGUCACCAUGUUGCUUGGCAACAGGCACAGUGUUUGUUCCCAAAUUUAACACUCCCCUGUCAGGCUGGGACCCUGUGUGUCCACCUGGCCUCUCUGGUGGCAGCUGGCUCGCGGUGGAGGGUGUGAGUGAACAGGUUAGUGUCCCUAGGGACUGCUGGAGCCAGCCUCUAGGGCCUCAGGCUCUGUCCCCACAAGGGAGGGCAGGGCCACCACCAGCUCCACCCGUCACGCCCGGCCACCCAGGAGGCAGUCUGGCUUAAGAGGUUUCAAGGACUCUGUAGGGGCCUCCCAGGACAGGUGGGGCAUGGAGGUGACCCUUGGAACCUGCCAGGCGGGGCAGAACCCGGUGAAGAAGUGACCUUUGGAGCAGAGAAGAGCCCUGGAGGGGCAUCCUUUCCUCAGUCUUCAGGUUUCACACUCCCCCAGGUGUUGGGAGGGGUCUCAGCAGGUGACCUGUGGUGGGCAGAGGGCAGAGGACUGGCUCUCCAGUGGCACGAGGCUUACCCUCCGGCUCCCUCUGGUAAAUGCCCGCAGACCCCCACCUGUGGGCACAGUACCCUUCCACGCAGGGGACGCCAGCCUGAGGUCUCCUGGUCUGUCCUGGGGCAGCCUCCUCAGACCCUGGCCCUUCCUGCUCUGCUCGCUGAGGGUCUCUGCUCUGCCCGAGUCCCGGCCCCAGCCGGCCCCUCCAGGCAGAGAGCUCGCCCUGCGCCUAUGCUGGCUCAGGCUGGGAUCCCGGGUCCUCUGCCAGGUGCCAGUCUGACCCCCCUGGCCACAGGAAGGGCCGGAAGGUCUGCUGACAGUGCUGGGCGCUCACAGCUGACGGAGGGGCCGGGUAGCAGAUGUUUCCUUUCUGUGUCACACAUCAUGGGAUUUGGAGACGCUGGUUCCAGUGACAACACCCGCCUCGUCCCUCACUCAUGCGGUGUUGAGGGCCUGCGAGGGGCCAGCAGUGGCUCCAGGGGGCAGUGUGGCUAGGUGUACCCACGAGGCCCCUGCCAACGUACCACACAGAGCUGCAACAUGGCAGCUCCGCCAGGGCCAGGAGACCCGUCCUGGAAAAGAGGCUGCUU